UUAAUAGUGUCUCCGCCUCCACUCACGUGACAGUCCGCUGACGUCACACUGGGUUUCUCCUCAUCAGUUCCGGCUCAUCGUGAAUUCAUUAAUAUUCAUGUAACUCCCGACACCACACAUAUUUGUCCACGUGGGUAGCUAUUGAGUCAUUGUCGCUGGUCGCGGCAGGGGGCGACCGAGUUUAAUCCGCGAAUUCCCUCGCGAGUUCCUGCUCUGUUCUGACGUCAGCUGCCGGAAGAGCGAUCAUUUCUUGGAAGCGCAGUUUUUGCCGCUGAUGCUGUGCCCCUCCCCACCAUUCACCAAUACACCGGACACUCAUUUUGCCGGCCUCGGAAGGAUGACAGGCUGAGGUCAACCCCACCUGGUGUUCAUUCAGCAGUUAACGGGGCUCGAACUCAGGAACACAAAGAUCCAAAGCCAGCCACCCGAACCACGAAGCCAACAACAAGCUCCAAGCUCUCUUCUGUCACAACGUGCCCGUGAGCGAAUCUGCUGUCAGGAAUCGAAAUCACUUUUCCAGUUUCGAUUCCAAGGAACUCCUUGACUGCCUCAGACCCAAAGAAUCUUGUACGAGAGGAGCCGAUCGGACGUCGUACCCAUUACACCACUGUACGGCCACUACGGCGCACGAUGGCCCAAGAUCUCUCCCCCGGUGUUAUCAAGUUGAUGUAUGCUGUUUAUGGUCGCAGCAACAAUGCAGAAAAUACAUUCAUUCAGGAACUUCAGCAGAUUCUGAGGAAGAAUGACCUGCAUUGUGUUAAAAUAUCUGGAAACGCUGAAGAGAGGAAUAAUGCUGCCACAUCAUAUGCCUCGUCGAGACUUCCACUCCUCCUCUUCUGUGUCGCUUCAACUCGGGUUGGCACUGAUGCUAAAGCUGCUCUCGACAUGUACACAGGCACAGAUCAAAAUACUAUCCUGGUGAUUCUGAAUCACAAGCCAAAUACAAAGUACCAGGAAGAUCAACAUAGUGGAAGUAGCAUUCACGAUGUCAAUGUUUCCUUGGUGGUUGAUUGCUUCUUCUGGGAGAGUGAUGGCCUAUACCGUUGUGAGAACAACACCAGGGCUGUGAACCAAGUGGCAGAUUUUCUCUCUCCUUACCUUCCAAGGAUAUCUCAAGUUUGGACGGAUCCGGAUGAAAUUUUGUCGACAGGUUCGGUGUGUGACAAGGACGAACUGAUUAGAUUUUGGUGAAGAUCCGGAUCCGACAACUAGAAGUUUUUUAGUGAUUCUUCAUCAUUGAGAGAUCAGGCCAAAAACAGUAGCACGAUAUCUCAAAAAGUUGUCGACGGAUUCGGAUGAAAUUUUGUGUACAUUCGGUGUGUGACAAGGAUGAACUGAUUAGAUUUUGGUGAAGAUCCGGAUCCGGAUCUGACUACUAGAAGAUUUUCAGUGAUUCUUCACCAUUGAGAGAUGAGGCCAAAACAAAUGUAGCAUGAUAUCUCAAAAAGUUCUGAAGCAAUCAGAACUUAGUGAACACAUCUGGAUAUUUACUAAGACCAACAUUCCAGUUGAGCUAAAAUAAUAUCUCCAAUCAAGCUUGCUGGUGCCUUAUAUUAAUCAUUUCAUUAAAAUCCCAUAGUAAGCAUGAUAUAUUUAAAUGAUAGGCAAUUUUUUUUUCUGAAUAAUAACUAAAGCUUACUUGAAAGGUCAGCUUGUUUUGAACACCUUUACUCAGCAGGUUGAUUAUCCUUAAAUACAGAGGAAAGAUAUUUCUAUACAGUAUUAAAUUUAAAUUCAAACAGAUACAUGUUCAAGCACAUUGAAUUGUAAUAAUCAUACCAUUUUCAAGUACAUUAUCCAUUAAAUAUUUAAAACAAUACAUUUAUUUUUAUGAAAAUUCAUUGACAGCAUUUUAUUAUUGUUUUUUAUCACCCUCAAACCCAUAAUUCUAAUUUUGAAGAAAUUGCAUCGACAAUACCUUUCAAGUAAAUCUUCAAAGAACAUUGAAACAUUGGGUAAAUUCUGUGAUGUCCAUCUUGGUGGGAGGUUAUUAAUACAUAUAUUUAGGUCAUUGUGAAAUUCCUGACAAACAAACUGGAUAUCUGUCAGGACGUCAUUCAGAGCUUUCCAUUCCUUGUGAAGAUCAUUUGCAUAACAAUCCACCUCGCUUAUGAGAGUUUGAAAUGCUGUAAUAAAAAGGAAAAAACAAAUAAUUAGUUAUAUAAUUAAUCGUACACAAUAAAAAUGAAGACCAAUUACUGCACCAUAGUUCCAAGAAGAAAGCCAGACUUAACAACACACACACACACACACACACACACACACACACACACACACACACACACACACACACACACACACACCCCCCCCCCCCCCCCCCCCCCCCCCCCCCCCCCCCCCCCCCCCCCCCCCCCCCCCCCCCCCCCCCCCCCCCCCC
ensembl:lincRNA